rnacentral:misc_RNA from 1 species
CAGACAAGUCAUUAGAUGCUGCUUAUGUGGGUGAAUUGUCAGUGAUGAUCUAUGAAAAGGAAAUUCUACUGCUGCUAAACUUCUAAUGCCAAAUCCCCAAAGUAACAGCUAUGACAAAAAACAAAAAGUAGCAGAAGUGUGGUAUCUCCUCCUGGCAGAAUGGAUGACCUGAGCUUUUUCCUGGAUUGUUGUACAUAUGCCAUUACAGGAGGAAGUAUGCCAAACAGGAAACAAUUUGCAUAAACUCCUGCAAAAUCAAGGGCUUUUGAAAAGGUUGAGCGAAAGAAAGAUCCUAUGAGAAUAGGAACACUGAGAACCAGCAUUGUUACAAACG